AUGGGGCGCAGCAGGCGAGAAAACUUUGCAAUGUGCGAAAGCACGACAAGGUUAAUCCGAGUGAUUUCUGCUAAAGAAAUCUUUUGCCAGUCAUAAAACCACUGGUGAAUAAGGGGUGGGCAAGUUCUGGUGUCAGCCGCCGCGGUAAAACCAGCACCUCAAGUGGUCAGGAUGAUUAUUGGGCCUAAAGCAUCCGUAGCCGGCCUUGUAAGUUUUCGGUUAAAUCCAUGUGCUCAACGCAUGGGCUGCCGAAAAUACUGCAUGGCUAGGGAGUGGGAGAGGUAGACGGUACUCAGUAGGAAGGGGUAAAAUCCCUUGAUCUAUUGAUGACCACCUGUGGCGAAGGCGGUCUACCAGAACACGUUCGACGGUGAGGGAUGAGAGCUGGGGGAGCAAACCGGAUUAGAUACCCGGGUAGUCCCAGCUGUAAACGAUGCAGACUCGAUGAUGCAUUGGCAUAAUAGCCAGUGCAGUGUCGCAGGGAAGCCGUUAAGUCUGCCGCCUGGGAAGUACGUACGCAAGUAUGAAACUUAAAGGAAUUGGCGGGGGAGCAC
rnacentral:rRNA from 1 species